rnacentral:snRNA from 1 species
GUUCUCGCUUCUGGCAGCACAUAUUCUAAAAUUGGAACGAUUAGCGUGGCCCCGCACAAGGAUGACAUACAAAUCCGUCAAGCGUUCCAUGUUUUU